CAUCGAUGAAGAACGUAGCGAAAUGCGAUACUUGGUGUGAAUUGCAGAAUCCCGUGAACCAUCGAGUCUUUGAACGCAAGUUGCGCCCGAAGCCUUCGGGCCAAGGGCACGUCUGCCUGGGCGUCACACAUUGCGUCGCCCCAACCUCAAACACGAGGAUAUGG
rnacentral:rRNA from 1 species